rnacentral:rRNA from 1 species
AUUGAACGCUGGCGGCAGGCCUAACACAUGCAAGUCGAACGAGUGGCGGCCGGGUGAGUAAUGUCUGGGAAACUGCCUGCUGGAGGGGGAGAAAUACUGGAAACGGUAGCGAAUACCGCAUACCAUUGGAUGUGCACAGAUGGGAUUAGCUAGUAGGGGGGGUAAAGGGUUAGCUAGGCGACGAGCCCUCGCUGGUAUGAGAGGAUGACAAGCCACACUGGAACGUAGACACGGUCCAGACUCCUACGGGAGGCAGCAGGGGGGAAGAUGGCACAAUGGGCGAAAGUCUGAUGCAGCCAUGCCGCGUGUAUGAAGAAGGCAUUCGGGUUGUAAAGUACUUGCAGCGGGGAGGCGUUACCCGCAGAAGAAGCACCGGCUAACUCCGUGCCAGCCGCCGCGGUAAUAC